AACGAACGCUGGCGGCAUGCCUAACACAUGCAAGUCGAACGAGACCUUCGGGUCUAGUGGCGCACGGGUGCGUAACGCGUGGGAAUCUGCCCUCUGGUUCGGAAUAACUCAGGGAAACUUGAGCUAAUACCGGAUAAUGACUUCGGUCCAAAGAUUUAUCGCCAGAGGAUGAGCCCGCGUCGGAUUAGCUAGUUGGUGAGGUAAAAGCUCACCAAGGCGACGAUCCGUAGCUGGUCUGAGAGGAUGAUCAGCCACACUGGGACUGAGACACGGCCCAGACUCCUACGGGAGGCAGCAGUGGGGAAUCUUGCGCAAUGGGCGAAAGCCUGACGCAGCCAUGCCGCGUGAAUGAUGAAGGUCUUAGGAUUGUAAAAUUCUUUCACCGGGGACGAUAAUGACGGUACCCGGAGAAGAAGCCCCAGCUAACUUCGUGCCAGCAGCCGCCGUAAUAC
rnacentral:rRNA from 1 species